rnacentral:rRNA from 1 species
UACGGAGGGAGCUAGCGUUAUUCGGAAUUACUGGGCGUAAAGGGUUCGUAGGGGGCGCGUUAAGUCCGGUGUGAAAGCCUGCGGCUCAACCGCAGAACGUCAUCGGAUACUAACGUGCUAGAGGGCCGGAGAGGAGAGCGGAAUUCCUGGUGUAGCGGUGGAAUGCAUAGAUAUCAGGAGGAACACCAAUGGCGAAGGCAGCUCUCUGGACGGCAUCUGACCCUGAGGAACGAAAGUUGGGGUAGCAAACAGG